rnacentral:lncRNA from 1 species
GCAGUGGGCCUGACUCAAACUCAAUGCCGACCCUGACAUACUGUAUGUGUGCAAGGUUGUGCUGAGCGACUAGUGCUUUUUGAGGUUGGUUGGGUUUUGUUUAGAUUUAGUUUGAGAAUUUUAGUUAAAUGUGACCCGUUUCAGGCAACUAGGCAUAUGUUGCAAGUCAUGAGUUCACAGGAGAGCCAUUUCAAUGUUUUUUAACAUUUUUCAAAUUGAGUUUUUUUUACAGAACUAUAAGGCUAUUUUAGCUGGUCAGUCUGUUGGUAAUCCUGUCGAAUGCGGGUUAAUUUAAAAUAUAUCGUGUAGUAGCAUAUGCGUUGCUCUCCACUUUCUGGAGGAUCUUGUUUUGAAAUCAGUGGAAUUAGAGUAUUGAUAGUUGAAGAGAUGGAGGAAACGCCUGUCUCCGGAUUAAAUCUUGUAAUUAAGGGCAACCGUGGCAUGGCAUCUGCGACAGGGAGACGCGUCCAUCACGCAUGGUGUAUUCGGGUCCUGGAGAGCAGGCAGUGUGCGUUGGGCAGACAGCACCACCCUCUGGAGUGCCCUGCGGUUGCGGGCGGUGCAGUUGCCAUACCAGGAGUGGUCCCGUCGAUGUGGAUAGGGGCGCGCUCCCUCUGCUGUCCCCUGGCUAAAAACUAUCUCCACCCGGCACAGCCAGAAGAGGCCUGGUUCCUCUCUAGGUUUCCUCCUAGGUUCCUGCCUUUCUAGGGAGUUUCUCCUAGCAGAACUUGCUCAGUUCUGCCUUCAGGACAAGACUCAUCCCAAUAAACAUCAACCUAUUGAAGAGGCAUUAGAAGAAGACAAAAAUGUAUAUUACCAAUUGAACGACAUCUAUUGCAGGAUAAAUCAAUGUUGCAUUUUACUUUAUGGGUUGGUUAUGUAGGCUUGUUUUAACCCAUUGCUAUCUACUAUGAUUAGGCAAUAUCUUUGCGUUUCUGUCAGAUUCAGUCAUUCCAAUUAAUUUAAUACCCCUUGAUCUUUAAGAAUAGGAAAUAUGGAACUAUACCUUGAGUGUACAAAACAUUAGGAACACCUUCCUAAUAUUGAGUUUCACCCUCUUUUUCCCUAAAAGCAGCCUAAAUUCGUCAGGGCAGUACUCUACAAGGUGUCGUAAGUUUUCCACAGGGAUGCUGGCCCAUGUUGACUCCAGUGCUUCCCACAGUUGUGUCAAGUUGGCUGGAUGUCCUUUGGGUGGUUGGCCAUUCUUGAUAGAAAUGGGAAACUGUUGAGCAUGAAAAACCCAGCAGUGUUGCAGUUCUUGACACAAACCAGUGCGCCUGGCACCUACUACCAUACCCUGUUUAAUACCACUUACAUAUUUUGUCUUACCCAUUCACACUCUGAACAGCACACAUACACAAUCCAUGUCUCAAUUGUCUCAAGGCUUAAAAAAUCCUUCUUUAACCAGUCUUCUCCCUUCACUACACUGAUUCAAGUGGACAUCAAUACGGGAUCAUAGCUUUCAUCUGGAUUCACCUGGUCAGUCUAUGCCAUGGAAAGAGCAGGUGUUCCUCAUGUUUUGUGCACUCACUAUGGAUUAGCCGAAUUGUUUGACCUGGGCAUAACCAAAAAACUAAGGACAAAUUAGCCUACUCUGUUUUUUGUUUAUUUUUUGGGGGUCACGGAGGGUUGAUUGGGCUCAUUGCUUCGAGUUAAAAAUAAAUUUGCUCUCGGAAUGGCAUGUUUGGAGCACUACCGAAAAGUAAAAAACUAGAUGGUAAAAGCAUGUGGAAAAACUAGAUGGUAAUUUUCCAUGAAGAAAAUAAAAGCCCCACUUGUGGACUUCUGAAAUUGAACUUGUACUUGAUAGUAUGGAGCACAAUACCACGAGGGAGUUUAGAAGGGAGGAACUCAAACUUGUAUUCCAUAGGCUGGGAUCCACGCCAUGCAGCUGUUGAAAUACCGCGUUUGUCACUGGCUGGCCACUGGGGCGUAUUCAUUACUCCGUCUCUGCAAAACAUUUCUUAAACGGAAGCAAACGGAACGAAAACAGAGACCUUGUCACGUCCUGACCGGUAAUAGGGGUUAUUUGUUAUUGUAGUUUGGUCAGGACGUGGCAGACGGUAUUUGUUUUAUGUGGUUCGGGGUGGUUGGUUGUUUAGAAGGGUGUUUGAUUUAUUAUUUCCGGGUUUUGGGCUAUGUUCAUUCUAGUAUUAG